GAUGAACGCUAGCGGGAGGCCUAACACAUACAAGCCGAGCGGUAGAGUCUCUUCGGAGACUUGAGAGCGGCGCACGGGUGCGGAACACGUGUGCAACCUGCCUUUAUCUGGGGGAUAGCCUUUCGAAAGGAAGAUUAAUACCCCAUAAUAUACUGGAUGGCAUCAUCUGGUAUUGAAAACUCCGGUGGAUAGAGAUGGGCACGCGCAAGAUUAGAUAGUUGGUGAGGUAACGGCUCACCAAGUCAGCGAUCUUUAGGGGGCCUGAGAGGGUGAUCCCCCACACUGGUACUGAGACACGGACCAGACUCCUACGGGAGGCAGCAGUGAGGAAUAUUGGACAAUGGGUGAGAGCCUGAUCCAGCCAUCCCGCGUGAAGGACGACGGCCCUAUGGGUUGUAAACUUCUUUUGUAUAGGGAUAAACCUAGAUACGUGUAUCUAGCUGAAGGUACUAUACGAAUAAGCACCGGCUAACUCCGUG
rnacentral:rRNA from 1 species